AAUGCUCUUUUGAACACAUCACUUCCCUGUACCCAUGGGACAAAGGCAACAGGAAGGGCUGCCACUCACAGGCCACACCUAUUCCUUAGUGAAGGAGAUCUGAGCAAAGGAGUACAAAUGCUUUGCACCCUGCCAGGCUUCAGGCAAUGUAGCACCUUUGUAGUCAGCCCAUGGGACUCUUUUGGAGGCUGUGCCUGGCAGCAAGGGGGAGAGAGAUCCUUAUUACUACUCUGAAUGCAACACGUUGUCUCAAAACCAUCUAUAGAGCUCCAGGCCCAGAGAUGUUCCCCUACCACAGAGGCUUACUGGUGUUUCGCAGGGUCCUGGUGGCGAAUGCAGCUGCCUCCCCUGCAGAGAGGCUGAGCCUGGUCGGAGCAAGAAGCUCGGCUGCACCGCUCACCUGCAGGAGAAGGACCCAUCACUCCGUGCUGGUACCGUUGUCAGCAGUGCUCUUGCCGAUUGCAAGACUGGUGGAAGCAUCAAAGGGGUGCCCUUGGAAUGUGUGCCUAAUGAUGAUCAAUGAAAAUAGAAGCCCUGUUGCAGCGAGACUCAUGAGGUCCUGCUCACAGCUGGCACACAGAGGCAUGGCUGUAAAAAGAAGAUGCUGGGCAUCAGGACUAAUUGUCCCACCAGAUUCCUCCUCACCUUGGAAAACCCUUGUCUCCUCCCAGCAGGGGAGAUGGGCCGCCUGUCCUGGUGUGGAUACUGGUAUGCCAGCCAGAUGCUCUGCGAGCAGCACAUGUUUCUCCAUUUAUCUUACCUUGUCGUGGAAGCCAGGCUUACCCACCACACUCAGCACUGCUGCCUGGCUCAGGCAGCAGGAGGGAGGAUGUGUGGGCCAGGAAAGUAUUAUUAAAACUGCUCCAUCACUGGCUGUAAUGGGAGCGUCUGUAUUUUCUCCCUCGCCCGUAUCCCUGACAUGACAUAAUGCCUGCCCUCACCAAGACGCUAUAACACCGAGGUAAUUGAAACAUAACUCACCGUAAAUUACAGACCGUUGUUCCAGGCAGGGCCCUGGCCAUGCUUCCUGGAGCUCAUUCCAACUGGAAGCUAAACAUUGCUUUAAAAGGGAUGCUUAAGCAAAACAAAGCCAUUUAAAGAGCAACACAAACAUGGGGAGGGAGGGGAGCACGGGGCUUGGGCUCUCCUGGAAAUGUGGGCUCCUGCCUGUGCAGCACCAGGUGCUUCUGGUGGCAUUUCUUUGGUCUGUGGGUACUGAGCAGGUGCACCAGGGAUGAGGUGUUAUUUCUGAAGCAGGCACCAGCACACUGGAAGCCUCCCUGUCCUCAGAGAGGCUGAGGACAGAGUAGGCCAUAGGAAGAACUUCUUAACUAAAAGGUUUGCUUGACAGGGCCAAGGCUUUGAUGGGAAGCUUGCCAAGUCACCGUGCCCUAGUGCCUACCAGAGGUGUGACAACCUAAGGCUCUGCCUAUCUUUGUGGGAUCCGAGUUCUUCCAUUUCAAAUGCGUGACACCUAAAUACAAGACGUAAAUCAAUGUGGGCUGCAGGGCCCUCAACACUGCAGGAGACCACACACACAUUCAUAAAACUAGCACCAGACAGAAGCAGCUCAACUGUUUGCUGACCCUGAGACCUGAAGGAUCUUCAGCUGUCGAAAGCUCACAGUUUGGUUGCAGGUAUCACACUUGUCUGAUGAAUAACUCACUUCACUUUCCUCCAUGCCUCAGUUUCCCCUUCCACAACAGAGGGGUAAAAAUACCAGCCAUCUUUGUUGAGCACCCUGUGAUACAGUGAGUUAAAAGGAUAUGAAAGUGAAGCAGGGAUAAUUACCCCACUGGUGUUGAUGGAGGCAUGAGCUGCUAGGAAACAUCAUUUUUUAGUCAGAAGGCAGCCCUGGAAUUCAGGACCCCUGGGCUUUGGUUUUGACUCCUGCUCUAGCAGGCUCUGUGCCCUCCACACUGA
ensembl:lncRNA